GUCCUUUUGAUUUUUAUUUAAGGUCUGACCUGCCCACUGAUUUAUUUAAUGGCCGCGGUAUUUUGACCGUGCAAAGGUAGCAUAAUAAUUUGUCUUUUAAUUGAAGGCUUGUAUGAAUGGUUGGACGAGAAAGCAACUUUCUUUAUAAUAAAAUGAUUAAUUUUAUUUUUUAGUUAAAAAGCUAAAAUGUUGUUGUAGGACGAGAAGACCCUAUAGAACUUUAUAAUUAUUUAUAUAUUAAUAUUUUUAGUUAAUAAUAUAUUGUAUUUUUAUAAUUAUUUUGUUGGGGCGACAAGAAAAUUUAUUUAACUUUUUUUCACCAAUUUCAUUAAUUAAUGUAUAAAUGAUCCUUUAUUAAAGAUAAUUAGAAUAAGUUACCUUAGGGAUAACAGCGUAAUUUUUUUGGAGAGUUCUUAUCGAUAAAAAAGUUUGCGA
rnacentral:rRNA from 1 species